rnacentral:lncRNA from 1 species
AAAAAAUCAAUACACAGAAAAAAAAAUUUGAGUUUCGAAAAGGUGAUUCUUUGAUUUGGUCUGAUUUUUUAUUUUUAUUUUAUUUUUAUUUUUUCUAUUUCAGUUUCCUUCGAUUGGUUUUACUUUAGAAACGAAAAAUAAAAGAAUGGAGGAAGAGAAACGAACCUGUUAGCCGGACCUGGCCUUCUCCGUCGUCAUCGGAGUAUAGGCUAGGUUGAGGAACCGUUCGUAUGCCUUCGGUGGAAUGGCGCAGCCUUCAUCUGAUUCGC